rnacentral:rRNA from 1 species
GACGAACGCUGGCGGCGUGCUUAACACAUGCAAGUCGAACGAUGAAGCGGGUGCUUGCACUCGUGGAUUAGUGGCGAACGGGCGAGUAACACGUGAGUAACCUGUCCUUUUCUUUGGGAUAACGGCUGGAAACGGCUGCUAAUACUGGAUAUUCAGGCUGCAUCGCAUGGUGUGGUUUGGAAAGGUUUUUUCUGGGAUUGGGUGGGCUCGCGGCCUAUCAGCUUGUUGGUGGGGUGAUGGCUUACCAAGGCUUUGACGGGUAGCCGGCCUGAGAGGGUGGUCGGUCGCACUGGGACUGAGAUACGGCCCAGACUCCUACGGGAGGCAGAAGUGGGGAAUAUUGCACAAUGGACGAAAGUUUGAUGCAGCGACGCCGCGUGGAGGGUGUAGGCCUUCGGGUUGUGAACUCCUUUUUCUCGCGAAAAAGGCACAGUUUUGGCUGUGUUGAUGGUAGUGGGGGAAGAAGCGCCGGCUAACUACGUG